rnacentral:rRNA from 1 species
UACGUAGGGGGCAAGCGUUGUCCGGAUUUAUUGGGCGUAAAGAGCGUGUAGGCGGCCAGACAGGUCCGUUGUGAAAACUCGAGGCUCAACCUCGAGACGCCGAUGGAAACCGUCUGGCUAGAGUCCGGAAGAGGAGAGUGGAAUUCCCGGUGUAGCGGUGAAAUGCGCAGAUAUCGGGAAGAACACCCGUGGCUAAGGCGGCUCUCUAGUACGGUACUGACGCUGAGACGCGAAAGCGUGGGGAGCGAACAGG